rnacentral:misc_RNA from 1 species
GGUUCAGUCCUCCCAGGCCCACCACUUCGCAAUCCGCAAGGAUUGUCGGAUCUCCUCGAUAUCCGUCGGGAAACACUAUCAGGGGCCGUAGCUCAGCUGGGAGAGCGCCUGCUUUGCAAGCAGGAUGUCGUCGGUUCGAUCCCGUCCGGCUCCACCAACCAUCUUCUGUGAAGGUGGGGCGUGUCGAGUAGAGGAUGAUCGCCCGCGGUCAGUCAUUCGAAAAAGAGUUUGCGGCGCGCUUCGUGCUCUCCGCCUGUUCUGUUUGACAUCGUAAAGAGAAGAUUUGUUCGAACUUCACGGCUGCAAGGCUGUGAUUUGUCGCAAGGACGCUCAAUCCCUUGCCUAUGAUGGGUUUGCCUAACCGCGCCCUCGAACGGAUCUCGAGAAGCUGGUCUUUUUGUGCCAAUUCCAUUGAAGCAAGCCCCGCACAGGGUUUUGCUCAGGCGGCGAUCCUUCGGAUCGCGCAGAUGGGUAUUGGCAAUGAGAACGAUCAAGUGUCUUAAGGGCAAUUGGUGGAUGCCUUGGCAUGCACAGGCGAUGAAGGACGUGAUACGCUGCGAUAAGCUACGGGGAGGUGCGAAUACCCUUUGAUCCGUAGAU